AUGCCGGGCACCAUCACGGACUGGACGGGGCGCGCUUGCUCCCCGCACCCCAUCCGCGAAGGAGCAGGGCUCCGGGACGUGGCGCGGCCCCGCUGCUCAGCAUCCGUUCUGCCGGCACAUCCUCCUCUCCGCAGGUGCCUGCGGGGCCGGGCUGCCGGCGGCGGCCAGAAAUGCCAGGAGCGGCGAGGCCCCGGGGCCCCGGCAGGGCACGGAGCGGCAUCCCGGCCUCGCUGCUGCUCUGCCUGGCGGCAGCAGCCGCUGACGGGUGAGGUCCCCUCCGUCCCCAAACAGCCCCUCGCGGCUGCCAGCCGUGCACCAGCUCCAUCCCGGUGCCGGGUGCAGGUCCCGGUGCCAGGUCCAUCCCGGUGGCGGGUGGGGGUCCCGGUGCCAGGUGUGGGUCUCGGUGCCAGCUCCAUCCCAGUGCUGGUUGGGGGUCCCACUGCUGGGUGUGGGUCUUGGUGCCAGCUCCAUCCUGGUGCCAGGUGUGGCUCCCAGUGCCAGGUCCAUCCCGGUGGCGGGUGGGGGUCCCGGUGCCAGGUGUGGGUCCCAGUGCCAGGUGUGGGUCCCAGUGCCAGAUCCAUCCCAAUGCCAAGUCCAGGUCCCGGUGCUGGGUGCGGGUCCCAGUGCCAGGUCCAUCCCAGUGCUGGGUAUGGGUCCUGGUGCCAGGUGCAGAUCCUGGUGCCAGGUGUGGGUCCCAGUGCCAGGUGUGGGUCCCAGUGCCAGGUGUGGGUCCCAGUGCCGGGUGCGGAUCCCGGUGCUGGGUGCAGAUCCCGGUGCCAGGUGCAGGUCCCAGUGCUGGGUGCAGAUCCCGGUGCCGGGAGCGGGUCCCCCGCCUCAGCGGGCGCCGUUGCAGGCGGUGGUGCGAGAGGACGGAGCAGGUGACGGAGGAGGCGGUGGUGACGCCCCGGCGCGAGGAGGUGGUGCCCUGCGCCAGCGUCUACCAGUACAGCCUGGCGGGAUGGCGGAUCGACCGGGAGCGCAUGCGGCAGGGCCCCGGCUCCGCCGCCCCCAUGUGCUACCUGUACAAGUGAGCGUCCCGGGAGACGCGGCCGGAGCUGCGGAACCGCACGGUGCGUGCCUGCUGCCCGGGCUGGAGCGGCCCCCGCUGCACCCAAGGUAGGGGCCGCGGUGCCGGCGCGGCGGCAGCGGCGGUGCAACGGCGGCAUGGAGGCGAGGCGCAUCCCUCUCCCGCAGGCGCAGCCUUCCUGGGGCGCUGCUACUCCGCGUGGCAAUGCCAGGACGCUCCGGGCGGCCGCAACCUGUCGGCGAUGAGCCUGGCCGAGUGCUGCGGCCGCCCCUGGGGGCACAGCUGGAGCAACGCCUCGGCGCCGGCGCUCUGCUUCGCCUGCUCCCACCUGCCCCUCG
rnacentral:lncRNA from 1 species